CCUACGGGAGGCAGCAGUAGGGAAUAUUGCUCAAUGGGGGAAACCCUGAAACAGCAACGCCGCGUGGAGGAUGAAGGUUUUCGGAUUGUAAACUCCUUUUGGUAGAGAAGAUAAUGACGGUAUCUAACGAAUAAGCACCGGCUAACUCCGUGCCAGCAGCCGCGGUAAUACGGAGGGUGCAAGCGUUACUCGGAACCACUGGGCGGAAAGAGCGCGUAGGCGGGAUAACAAGUCAGAUGUGAAAUCCUAUGGCUUAACCAUAGAACUGCAUUUGAAACAGUUAGUCUAGAGUAUGGGAGAGGUAGGUGGAAUUCUUGGUGUAGGGGUAAAAUCCGUAGAGAUCAAGAGGAAUACUGAUUGCGAAGGCGACCUGCUAGAACAUAACUGACGCUGAUGCGCGAAAGCGUGGGGAGCAAACAGGAUUAGAUACCCUUGUAGUC
rnacentral:rRNA from 1 species